UGAGUACGAGACGCUAAGGCGUCGAAGUAGAGUAUGUCAUACUUCCAGGAAAAGCUUGCACUGACAUUCAUAAAAAAUGCCUGUACCAUAACCGACACAGGUGGGUAGGUAGAGUAUACUAAGGGGCGCGAGAUAACUCUCUCUAAGGAACUCGGCAAAAUAACUCCGUAACUUCGGGAGAAGGAGUGCCUUAUUUAUAUAAGGUUGCAAUAACAAGAUCCAAGCAACUGUUUACCAAAAACACAGGUCUCCGCUAAGUCGCAAGACGAUGUAUGGGGGCUGACGCCUGCCCAGUGCCAGAAGGUUAAAGAAGUUGGUUAGCAAUCGAAGCUAGUAACUGAAGCCCUGGUGAACGGCGGCCGUAACUAUAACGGUCCUAAGGUAGCGAAAUUCCUUGUCGGGUAAGUUCCGACCCGCACGAAAGGCGUAAUGAUUUGGAUACUGUCUCGGAGAGGGACUCGGUGAAAUAGACUUGUCUGUGAAGAUGCGGACUACCUGCACCAGGACAGAAAGACCCUAUGAAGCUUUACUGUAACUUGAAAUUGAAAUUGGACUUUAUUCGCGCAGUAUAGGUGGGAGGCAUUGAAAAUAAUCUUGCGGGAAUAUUGGAGCCAUCAGUGAGAUACCACUCUUGUAAUGUUAGAUUUCUAACUUUGAAUCAUUAUCUGGUCAAAGAACAGUUUCAGGCGGGCAGUUUGACUGGGGCGGUCGCCUCCCAAGUGGUAACGGAGGCGUACAAAGGUUUCCUCUGAACGGGUAGAAAUCGUAUCUAGAGUGUAAAGGCAAAAGGAAGCUUGACUGUGAGACCUACAAGUCGAGCAGGGACGAAAGUCGGUCUUAGUGAUCUGACGGUACUGAGUGGAAAGGCCGUCACUCAACGGAUAAAAGUUACUCUAAGGAUAACAGGCUGAUCUCCCCCAAGAGUUCACAUCGACGGGGAGGUUUGGCACCUCGAUGUCGGCUCAUCGCAUCCUGGGGCGGUAGUACGUCCCAAGGGUUGGGCUGUUCGCCCAUGAAAGCGGUACGCGAGCUGGGUUCAGAACGUCGUGAGACAGUUCGGUCCAUAUCCGGUGUAGGCGUUAGAAUAUUGAGAGGAGCCUUCUUUAGUACGAGAGGACCGAGAAGGACAUACCUCUGGUGUACCAGUUAUCGUGCCAACGGUAAACGCUGGGUAGCUAUGUAUGGAGUGGAUAACCGCUGAAAGCAUCUAAGUGGGAAGCCCACCUCAAGAUGAG
rnacentral:rRNA from 1 species